UAUAUAUAUAUAUAUAAAUAAUAUGUAAGAUUACGUAACUCGUAAAUGAUGUCGUGUCUUUUGAGGCAAGUGUGUGAUUAUUUCAAAGUGCUGCCCAGCUACUAGUUUUACUUUAACAAAAUUAAACUAAGCUAUAAGCUUUCUUUACUUGUUAGCAAUAUUACACUUAUAGUGACAAGAUAAGCAAGCAAGCUUCAAACGACAACAACAAGAACAACAACGUUUUUGUUGAACUUUUCAACAUUUCAUUUUUGGUCAAAUGAUCACUUUUAUCAUGAGAAUACCAACAGCAUUAACUAUUCUAUCUGCAAAUCACUAUGCAUAACCCCAGCUGGUCAGUCCUACAGUAUGUACAGUAAUCGUUUCCUGUCGUUACCCACAACUACCUUUGCACUGUUGAUGCAUGAUCAUGUCGUCUCAGAGAUGACGCGAAGCUAGAUACGUGCACUAAUUGCAUCUUACCAACAAUUUACUGUGAUUUCAGGAAAUGAUUUUAAUAAUUUUACGACUGUCCAGACGCAAUGUAAUAUAGAGGAAAUACACUCAAAUAUAGUCUAUCCAUCCAUAUUUUGAAAUAUAAAUGUAAAGUGAUAAUAAAUAAAUAAAUAAAUAUAUAUAUAGACAAUAUAUUACAAUAUAUUUACUUCAUAUUUUGGAUUGUUUUCCAGAAUAUUUCAUUUUACUUGUGAGUAAACACCCACCAGAACAAAUUCACCUUGUUAUUCAUGAUGUAGUAUACCGUCCGGGUUUACUGAUGACACAUGUCCUAGGUUUUGAAUAUUGUCUAGGGGGGAGGUAGGGGAUUAAUGCUGUGUAAUAAUUCUGUUUUGUUCUUCUGUAUAUAGUAUGCGUCCAUCAUUGUGUUUCAUAGUGAAACUCAAUCCCACAGAUUUGUUUGUGAAUGUUUUCUGAGGCUCUGUGCAAUGGGACCCACUGACAGCAUAUGGAGUGUAAAACCACUGCAGUCCAAAUCUCUCUCUCUCUCUCUCUCACACACACACACAAAAUAUGCUCCACACUGGUUUGGGGUUUAAACAUAGUGUCCAGGGAAGACUUCUGUUUCAUUAACCACCAGCUGCAUAAAGAGUAAGGUCCAAAAGCCUGAAUCCAAGACCAAGAACUGUUUCAUUUAAUCAGUUAUGAAAUAAAUCUGCAGUACAAAUUUCUAAAGCUAUAUUUUUCAAACAUUUGGAUCCAAUAUUGUACGUCAAAAAUUGUGCGUUCACAUUAACAUAUAAUGAUAACUGUUCUAAUUGAGUCAAUUGGUUAUUUUCUUAUUACAGCAUGUCCUGAAGUGUUUCCCCUUAUACAACAGCAACUUGCCAACAAUAGUUUUUUCUUCAUUUGCAUUAUAACAGCUAUUAAUGGGAUUCCACAGAGUUUUUUUUUUUUUUAUUGUUGCGGCCAAAAAUGCUUGAUUUUGCUCUGGCUUUUUAAAAAGUUUGCGAUGCAGUUUGUGAAGUUUUUCGUGCUUUUUUUGCUUAAAACUACUUGAAUCGGUGAACUCGCAAUUGCACGAAAUAGUUUUGCAUGGUUUUUCACGGUUUAUCACAGUGAUGUUUGUCGGUAAAUGAGACCUUUUAGCUGUACUCAUGUUCAACGCAUGUGAAUCGAAGGGGCUUUGGCUUUUGUGUUAAUGUCUGUGAGCCCAAAAUCCUGGACGGAUUCAUUAAGAGUCAUUCCUUCGUUUUUCCCUCUUGAUGUUAAUAAGAUUGCAGCUUGUGACUCAUUUACAUUGCGUUUAUGGCAUUUGGUAGAUACCCUUAUCCAGAGUAACUUACAUUUAUCUCAUUUUUAUACAAUCAAGAAGUUGAGGGUUAAGGGUCUUGCUCAAGGGGCCAGCUGUGACAACUUGGUGGUGCUGGGAUUUCAACUCAUGACCUUCUGAGCAAAAAUCCAUGGUCUUAACCACUGAGCUACCACCUAACGCAAAACCCUUGAACUCCAAAGCUCUCCUUCAUGAACACUUUCUUUUGGCAAAAAAAGGAGAUCUUUACUUCUGACUGUUACAAAACGCUGAAACUGGAGACUCCUUGCGUAAAUGUUAAAUAAACAGCUCCUAACAGAAAACUUCAGAAUAUCAACUAUUAUAUUUGGUUAAGUAACAUAACUUUAUUAUUAUUAUUAUUAUUUUUAACUUUGUUUAUUAUUAGACAUAAUUUAUGUAGAAUUUCCACAGUACAAUCCAGGUGAAUUCAGAUCGAAUGUUACUAUAGAAACAACAACAUUAGAAUGAGUGCAAUAAUAUAAACCUGCGAUUUGAAGCCGGAACUACUUAAAAAAUUAUGCAACAGCAUCUGACCAAUCAGAUUAGAGAACGCUGUUGUAUAACUUAUUUUACUUAAUACUAUAUAUAAAUGAAGUAAUAGUAGGUAGCUACUAAGCUAUGCAGCUAUUUAGAUAAUUAUGUUUAGCCACUCCAAUGACAACCCAUCAGUGUAAUGCCAUCAGUUUAGCCAGCUAGUUAUAAUAUUAGUAUCUUAAUUUAUGGGACUGUUUGCAAGCUAGCUGUUUAAAUUUAUAUGAUGUAACCUGAACAUAACUAGCCAGUUUAUUUAACAGCAUUUAAUAUCUGAUGCAUGAUUUCACUCAAUGAACAGUAUCUAUGACAUCCUGACUGCAGAAUUGGAAAGCCAAAAAGCUACAGACAUUUGGACCUUGCAGCCAACUUUCCGUUUACUUGACACGUUAUAUCUAUAAUGACACAUUAAAACAGAAGGAUUGGUCUAGCUGAAAUAUGCAAUAGACACAUACUUAAAGAGCAUGAUCACUUUAGUUUCAAACAGAACCUGUUGUGUUAAGGUAAGGGGACCACAGUGUUAAUUUGCUAUGGUGUUACUGUGUGAGCUAAAACACUGUUCAUAUUUCCAUGUGGAACUAUAUAAAGAUAAAAGAGACAUGUUGGACUUACAUGAAAUAAGAAUGUUUACCCGAGAGUGUGGGGUGCAUGUAUGUCAAUCGUUUUAGAAACAGAUCAGCUGUGGGUCGAGUAAAGCGUGUGCAUGUCUAUGUAUAUGAGGUGCUGUUUAGGACAUUGUUCAAAUUACAGUUCUAAUAUACACGCACACUGAUCUGACAGUCACUGCUUUACCUCUAACAUAAGCAAAAAUGAUCUCACCUUGCCACUUUACCUCAUAGUUACACACGCUAUGCUCUUGGACUAGCUUCACUAGCUAGAGAACUAGCUUCACUAAUUUUACCUCACUCAAGCUGAUGUCAAAUUGAACAGAACUCUUUCAUAUUCACAUAAAUCCUCUCCCACUCACCAAAAUUCAUGACAUGCUUUUUUUGUGUGAGAAGUACAUUGGUAAAUGUUAGAUUGUGAAUAAGAUAUAAUGGUGAAUGUGAGAGUUUUUUUGUGAAUUUGAAUGUUUUAUUCUGAGGUAAAAAGGGUCAAUGUGAGAAUGUUCUGUGUGAAUAUGUGAGGUAAAAUGGUGACUGUGAGUGUGUGAAUGGGGCAAAAUGUGUGAGUUUGUGGAAAUGUCUUAGGUAAAAUGAUGAAUUUGAAUGUGUGAGGUAAAAUAGUGAGUUUGUGUGUUUUUAUGUGACUGUCUGAGGUAAAAUGUUAAGCUCUGAGAAUGUUGGGUGUGAAAGUGUGAGGUAAAAUUGUAAAUGUGUGUUUUCUGUGAGGUAAAAUCAUGAUUACGUGUACAUUAGAGCAAAUGUUUGAAUAACGGCACCUCCAAAAAAUCUCAUGUGAGAUGCAUUUCUGGAACAUACAUGUUUUUUCAUGGAUUGCGUUAUCUGUUCCAUUGGUGUUCCAUAUGCGCUGAAGCAAUAUAUAAUCGAUUGUUGAGGCAGAUACUGCAUAUAUGGACAACUGUGUAAAAAUCUGUGAGCUACCUGAGAUUUCAAGGUGCAAGAGCUGAACAAGACCAGUGGGAUAUUUUAUUUUCUUAUUGCACUUUAAAAUACUAUGAUACACAAGUUUAAUGAAUUCACAUUGUCAUUGGAUCAAUGAUUAUUGUAGAUAUACUGUAUAUGUAUAUAAUAAACGAGUUUUCUUUUAUAUAAAUGUUUAUUUGUAGGUUAUAUAUGUAUACAUGUCCAAAAUUUAUUAUUUGUUCAAAAAAUAUUUUGUCCUACACAGACUCAUUUUUGUUCAUUGUUUACAAUUACAUUUUUCUUAUGUUUGAUUAUAUGUAUAUUUUUAUUAUUAUUUUCUAUUUUUUUAUUUUAUUUAUUUAUUUAUUUAUUUUU
ensembl:lncRNA